rnacentral:rRNA from 1 species
AAGCUUACUGCGUGGGGAAUACGGUCGCAAGGCUGAAACGUAAAGGAAUUGGCGGGGGAGCACAGCAACGGGUGGAGCGUGCGGUUUAAUUGGAUUCAACGCCGGAAAACUCACCGGAGGUGACUGCCACAUGAGAGUCAGGCUAAAGACUUUACUCGAUUAAUAGGUAGAGAGGUGGUGCAUGGCCGUCGUCAGUUCGUACUGUAAAGCGUUCUGUUAAGUCAGAUAACGAACGAGACCCCUGCUGCUAGUUGCUACUCAUCUCCCCGGAGAUGAGGCACACUAUCGGGACCGCUGUCGCUAAGCCAGAGGAGGGGGGGGCAACGGUAGGUCAGUAUGCCCUGAAUCCUCCGGGCUACACGCGCGCUACAAAGGAUAGGACAAUGAGUUUCGACUCCGAGAGGGGAAGGUAAACCCGAAACCUAUACCGUAGUUCGGAUUGAAGGUUGCAACUCACCUUCAUGAAGCUGGAAUCCGUAGUAAUCGCGGAUCAACAUUCCGCGGUGAAUACGCCCCUGCUCCUUGCACACACCGCCCGUCAAACCACCCUAGUUGUGGGUGGAUGAGGA